rnacentral:rRNA from 1 species
GUGGGGGAUAUUGCACAAUGGGGGAAACCCUGAUGCAGCGACGCCGCGUGAAGGAAGACGUACUUCGGUAUGUAAACUUCUAUCAGCAGGGAAGAAGAUGACGGUACCUGACUAAGAAGCCCCGGCUAACUACGUGCCAGCAGCCGCGGUAAUACGUAGGGGGCAAGCGUUAUCCGGAUUUACUGGGUGUAAAGGGAGCGUAGACGGAAUGGCAAGUCUGAAGUGAAAUCCUGCGGCUUAACUGCAGAAUUGCUUUGGAAACUGUCAAUCUGGAGUGUUGGAGAGGUAAGCGGAAUUCCUGGUGUAGCGGUGAAAUGCGUAGAUAUCAGGAAGAACACCGGAGGCGAAGGCGGCUUACUGGACAAUAACUGACGUUGAGGCUCGAAAGCGUGGGAAGCAAACAGGAUUAGAUACCCGGGUAGUCC